CCUACGGGGGGCAGCAGUGGGGAAUAUUGGGCAAUGGGCGCAAGCCUGACCCAGCAACGCCGCGUGAAGGAAGAAGGCUUUCGGGUUGUAAACUUCUUUUAUUGAGGACGAAACAAAUGACGGUACUCAAUGAAUAAGCCACGGCUAACUACGUGCCAGCAGCCGCGGUAAUACGUAGGUGGCAAGCGUUAUCCGGAUUUACUGGGUGUAAAGGGCGUGUAGGCGGGACUGCAAGUCAGAUGUGAAACCCAUGGGCUCAACCCAUGGCCUGCAUUUGAAACUGUAGUUCUUGAGUGAUGGAGAGG
rnacentral:rRNA from 1 species